AAGGAAUAUUGGACAAUGGAGGCAACUCUGACCCAGCCAUGCCGCGUGAAGGAAUAAGGCCCUAUGGGUUGUAAACUUCUUUUAGACGGGACAAAACCCCUUUACGUGUAAAGGGUUGAUGGUACUGUCAGAAUAAGCAUCGGCUAACUUCGUGCCAGCAGCCGCGGUAAUACGAAGGAUGCAAGCGUUAUCCGGAAUUAUUGGGUUUAAAGGGUGCGUAGGCGGACUAAUAAGUCAGUGGUGAAAGCCUGCAGCUUAACUGCAGAAUUGCCAUUGAUACUGUUAGUCUUGAGUACAGUUGAGGUAGGCGGAAUGUGUCAUGUAGCGGUGAAAUGCUUAGAUAUGACACAGAACACCGAUUGCGAAGGCAGCUUGCUAAGCUGUAACUGACGCUGAGGCACGAAAGCGUGGGGAGCAAACA
rnacentral:rRNA from 1 species